GAUGAACGCUGGCGGCGUGCUUAACACAUGCAAGUCGAACGGUGAACGAGGGAGCUUGCUCCCUCCGGAUCAGUGGCGAACGGGUGAGUAACACGUGAGCAAUCUGCCCUGGACUCUGGGAUAAGCGUUGGAAACGACGUCUAAUACCGGAUACGAGACGCGAAGGCAUCUUCAGCGUCUGGAAAGAACUUCGGUCCAGGAUGAGCUCGCGGCCUAUCAGGGAGUUGGUGAGGUAACGGCCCACCAAGCCUACGACGGGUAGCCGGCCUGAGAGGGUGACCGGCAACACUGGGACUGAGACACGGCCCAGACUCCUACGGGAGGCAGCGGUGGGGAAUAUUGCACAAUGGGCGCAAGCCUGAUGCAGCAACGCCGCGUGAGGGACGACGGCCUUCGGGUUGUAAACCUCUUUUAGCAGGGAAGAAGCGAAAGUGACGGUACCUGCAGAAAAAGCACCGGCUAACUACGUGCCAGCCGCCGCAGUAAUAC
rnacentral:rRNA from 1 species